rnacentral:tRNA from 1 species
GGUAGGGUGGCUGAAGUAAAGCGGUGGAUUGUAGCUCCACCAAUAGGGGUUUAAGUCCCCUCUCUAUCA